CGGGCGAGGCGCCGGUCUAAGUCCCUUGGAACGGGGCGUCACAGAGGGUGAGAAUCCCGUACGCGACCGGCGACCGAGCCUGUGUGAAACCCCUUCGACGAGUCGAGUUGUUUGGGAAUGCAGCUCAAAAUGGGUGGUAAAUUUCAUCUAAAGCUAAAUACCGGCCGGAGACCGAUAGCGCACAAGUAGAGUGAUCGAAAGAUGAAAAGCACUUUGGAAAGAGAGUCAAAAAGUACGUGAAAUUGUUGAAAGGGAAGCGCUUGCAACCAGACCUGCCCGCGGGUGAUCAGCCGUCCUUCGGGGCGGUGCACUCGCCCGCGAUCAGGCCAGCAUCGGUUCGGGCGGCCGGAUAAAGGCCCUGGGAACGUAGCUCCCCUCGGGGAGUGUUAUAGCCCUCGGUGCAAUGCGGCCAGCCCGGACCGAGGACCGCGCUUCGGCAAGGAUGCUGGCGUAAUGGUUGUAAGCGGCCCGUCUUGAAACACGGACCAAGGAGUCGACCAUCUAUGCGAGUGUUUGGGCGUCAAACCCACACGCGCAAUGAAAGUGAACGGAGGUGGGAACCCCUCGCGGGGCGCACCAUCGACCGAUCCAGAUGUCUUCGGAUGGAUUUGAGUACGAGCAUAGCUGGUCGGACCCGAAAGAUGGUGAACUAUGCCUGAAUAGGGUGAAGCCAGAGGAAACUCUGGUGGAGGCUCGCAGCGGUUCUGACGUGCAAAUCGAUCGUCAAAUUUGGGCAUAGGGGCGAAAGACUAAUCGAACCAU
rnacentral:rRNA from 1 species